AUAGACGAAUCUUCAAAAUGG
ensembl:piRNA 21ur-2368 ncRNA